AGUGAACGCUGGCGGUAGGCCUAACACAUGCAAGUCGAACGGCAGCACAGUAAGAGCUUGCUCUUACGGGUGGCGAGUGGCGGACGGGUGAGGAAUACAUCGGAAUCUACUUUUUCGUGGGGGAUAACGUAGGGAAACUUACGCUAAUACCGCAUGCGACCUACGGGUGAAAGCAGGGGAUCUUCGGACCUUGCGCGAUUGGAUGAGCCGAUGUCGGAUUAGCUAGUUGGCGGGGUAAAGGCCCACCAAGGCGACGAUCCGUAGCUGGUCUGAGAGGAUGAUCAGCCACACUGGAACUGAGACACGGUCCAGACUCCUACGGGAGGCAGCAGUGGGGAAUAUUGGACAAUGGGCGCAAGCCUGAUCCAGCCAUACCGCGUGGGUGAAGAAGGCCUUCGGGUUGUAAAGCCCUUUUGUUGGGAAAGAAAAGCAGCAGGUUAAUACCCCGCUGUUCUGACGGUGCCCAAAGAAUAAGCACCGGCUAACUUCGUG
rnacentral:rRNA from 1 species